CUACAUAUUGCAUCUAACAUUUUGAGAAUUUUUGAAGGGAUAAGGAAGAUUUGAGCCCAAUAAGCCUGUAUGCCAAAAGUUACUGUUUGCACCAGUUGAAUUCUGCCUGCAUAGGACAACUUUCUGGCAGUCCAAGAAGUUAUCCUGGCAGUAACUUUAUCUACCAAUGGUUGCCACUGCAGCAAAGACAUCUUCCUAGUUGAUAGUGGAACUCCCAGGUAUUUAAAAGGUAAUUCCCCAUAAGCAUAACCAAGGUGAGCUACAAUUUGCUGUUGAAUAUCAGAAUGAACACCACCAAAUUAGACAGAACUUUU
rnacentral:lncRNA from 1 species